CACCAAACUAAAACAGAAAUUCCAAUCAUUUACGACUACUGCACACUUAAAUCCAAGUAUGAAAGAUGACGCAUGCAUCCAGAAAUGAAACCAAAGCAAGAACACCACUGCACGGAUGGCCACUCCAUGGAAGCUAGAAGUGGUUGACCCUCCUGCAGUUGUGCCUGAUCUCGCCGGCGCUCCCGGUGAGCGGCGAGAUGUUGCCCAUCUUGACCAUGGACUUGGCGAAGUGGUCGAAGAAGAGGCCCUGGUCGGCGGCGUAGCGGUGGACGAGGUCCAUGGUCUCGCGGCUCUGCGUGAGCAGGAUCUCGUCGGAGCUGAGCAGCCCGUUCAUGGCCAGGAUGUUGUGGUAGUACUGGUUGUCGAACCGGAACUGGGUCACCAGGUCCAGCGCGAACAGGUUCUGGUCGCCGCCCGACCGCGGGCACCGGCCCCGCAGCUCCGCCGCGUACGCCGGGUUCAGCGUCCGGUCCACCUGCCCGUUGUUGUUCUGGCCGUACAGCCGCUGCCGGAAGCUCACGCACCGCGAGUCGCCGAUGGUGUGCCCCCCUGCGUUCAGUUGUUCGUUGCAGUUGGAAGGAUAUGUAUACUAUCGCAGUAUACUCCUAAAUGUGAUGGAGUGCAAUGCA
rnacentral:misc_RNA from 1 species